GCUGCCCUGGUUGCCGGCUUCACCUCCGCCGCGUCUCCUCCCCUCUCCGCCUCUCCGCUCUCUCCUUGCUCCGUUGCUCUCGCCACCACAACCACCAUGGGUCCAUGGCUACAGCCAAACCUAGGUCGUCGUCACUCUUGCCUGGCCCCGCCUCCGGCAUCGCCGCUCCUCCAUCCUGCUCCCGGCAACUACCAAUAGCCGCGCAGACAGCAGCGAACCAACCCUAGGGUAGUCACUUCAAGGACCGGAGGAAGUUGGAUGUGGGAACAACUCCACUCAUGGCGUUGGAGCUGGCAUCUAGGACUUCAAGCGAAACCAGUUCCCCAAGAUCUGCGAGGAUACUCUCUUGCAACCAGUUAUAACUGAGGUUGAGAUGCUGUAGCUUGGGCAGCUUCAGCCCUACCAAGCCUAUGAUAGUUUGUCUGAAAAUAUUAGUCAUUGCAAAAGCAAGGAGCAAUCUUGGUUAUUCAGGAUGGACACUGUGCACAUACCAUCGAUAUUUAGAGAACUGGGAUAGAUACUGGACAGAUCCAGGAACUGAAGCUCCGGGAAUGAGGAGAAGACCGUCGUGUUGAAACGCCAAAACGAGUCACCAUGUGCAUUUAGCACUUCCAGAGAAUCAUACAGGUUUGAGAAGUAGAGAUGUGAUACUCGCCCAGUGAUGUUGCUGCAUUUGACGCGCUCCCACAAGCAGCAGUCGUCGUCACCGUCGCCGCGCCCCCAUGAUGGCGGCACCGUGCCGUUUGAGCGCGUCAGAGAGGAGCCAAUGUCCAUCAGCGCCGU